GAAAUACUCCCUCCAUUUGAAAAUACUUGUCGGAGAAAUGGAUAUACCUAGACAUAUUUUAGUUCUAGAUACAUCUAUUUUUAUUCGUUUCUUUGACCAAUAUUUUUGAACGGAUGGAUUAGUCA
rnacentral:pre_miRNA from 1 species